rnacentral:lncRNA from 1 species
AUGCAUCUUGGCCUUGGCCACCUUGCCGUGCGUGAUCGUUGUUUGUUUUUAUUUGUGCUUUUUAAGAAUAUUUUUUAAUUCGGAUACUUUUAUAAUAACUUUAAUAGUAUUAUUAAUAUAGUGCAUAAAAUCAGUUGGAGUAGCAGAAGCAAUGUAGAUAAAAAAUCUGCAGGAAUAAUGUUUCAAAGCUUUCCAGAAGAUCCUGCAAAGAAGGCAUGAAGUAUUGAUCAGAUUUGUUAAUAGAGCAGUAUGUUCAAAACAUUUUUUAGAAAAAGAUAUUGACAGAACUUCACUUUCAACCGUUUGAGAGACUGUGCUGUUCCAAUAGCUUAUAUCACACAGAAUCAGCUGAGAGAAGUGGUCUACAAAAAACCAGGAAGGAAAUGGAAUAUGUGGCUAUGAAAGGCAAAAGAAAGGUUUACAAAGCAAAUGUGACACAUUUUUUUAUAGGAAUAUCAGUAAAUUACAUUAAAAAAAUGUAUGAAAAGAUUUUUUGCAAUAAAAAUGUUUAUAUUUA